UUAUAUGAAUAUUUUGUGUUUGUUCGCCUUUUUUGUAACUUUGCACACAUUUGAUGCGAUCACUAUUUGCAGCAUAAUUCAGUGGAAGAGUUCCUGGUAUUUUCCUUUUGCUCCACUGACAAUAGUGUGCAGUGAUCGUUUGAACCUAAUAAUUGAUAAACUAAAUAGGCCGCACUGUCACCUGGUGUUGUGCAAGACGCUUCUGAUUGGAUAACGAGGCGCAUUUUGCCCUUUAACAUUUCCAGUGAUGGUUGCAACAUGGCGCUGUGUGGAGGCACGGAGAAGAAAAAGAUUUGUUCUUAUUACGAAGUUUGAGCCCAUGACCAAAGAACAGCCUGUGAGGAGGAGGUCCAGGAAUGCUGCCAACCAAGGGGGGGAAAAAAGGAAGCAGAAGAGGUCAAAAGAAGAGGUUUAAUGAAGUUGGUCCACUCCUGAUGAUGGACCUUUGUUGAAUCCUGUGAGCAAGCUAAGAAUUGCUGUUGUAAUUUGACUUUUUUUUUUUCUUUAAUGUGUAUCUAUGGACUUUGUGAUUGAAUGCAUGUUGUGUUUUGCUAUUAAAAGAAUCAAAAGUUGUUGUUCUGCUGUUUAUUGUGCAAGUGUUCUGGUUGGGUUUUUUAACGUACUGCUUUUUAGUACUUUUAUGUAACUAAAAAAAACUUCAUAUUCAUCAGUAUUUGCUCAAUAUUUGGAAAUGAAUGCACAAAAAGGUCCAAAAAAAAUUUUUUUAUAUAAAGUUUCAAAUACAGCACAGCUUCCACAAAGUACAAAAAAGCUGUAAAACUAAGCUAAAGAGCUAAAAAAAAUAUACUAAGUACAAAAAAUGAACAAUAAAGC